rnacentral:misc_RNA from 1 species
UUUCCGUAGGUGAACCUGCGGAAGGAUCAUUAAAGUUAUAGUCCCCCGGCCCCUCCGGGCUGGGGUCUUCUAUACCCCCCUUUGUUUAUUACACCUUUGUUGCUUUGGCAGGCCUGCCCUCGGGCUGCUGGCUCCGGCCGGCUCGUGCCUGCCAGUGGACCUAAACUCUGUUUGUAUAUGAAGUCUGAGUACUAUAUAAUAGUUAAAACUUUCGACAACGGAUCUCUUGGUUCUG